AUAGGAAAGAUUGGUGUGAACAGAUUCGGCCGUAUUGGGGCCUGGUCACCAGGCCUGCCUUCAGUUCUUGCAAAGUAGAUGUAGUUGCCAUAACAACCAUUUCAUUGACCUCAGCCACACACUCUACACGUUCUGGUAUGGCUCUACCAAUGGCAAGUUCAACAGCACAGUAAAGACCGAGAACAGGAAGUGUGUUAUCAACAGCAAGGCCACCAUUAUCUUCUAGGAGUGAGAUCCUACCAACAUUAAGUGGGGUGAUGCUGGUGCUGUAGAUGCUGUGGAGUCUCCUGGUGUCUUUACCACCAUGGAGAAGGCUAGGGCUCACUUGAAGGGUGGGGCCCAAAGCAUAUUCAUCUCCAUCCCUUCUGCUGGUGCCCCCAUGUGACAAGGACCAACCACAAGAAGUGUGACAAUGUAGCCAAGAUUAUCAGUAGUAUCUCUUCUGCCCCACCAACAGCCUAGCACCCCCACCUGCCCACCAUGAAUAUCCAUUACAACUUUGACAUCAUGGAGGAAUACAUGGCCAUAGUCCACACCACCACCGCCACCCAGAAUAUUUGGGAUGACCCCUCUGGGAAGCUGUGGGACAAUGGCUCUGGAUCUGCCCAGAAGAUCAUCCCUGUAUCCACAGACACUGCCAACCUAUGGGCACGGCCAUCCCAGAACUGAACAGGGAACUCAGCAUGGCCUUCCAUGUUUCUAUCCUCAGUGUAGCCAUCGUGGAUAUGACACACCAUCUGGUGACAGCUGCCAAGAAUGAAACAGGCAUUGGAGGGUCCCCUAAAGGGUAUCCUGGGCUAUGCUGAGGACAGGUUGUUGCUUGUGUUUUCAACAGUAAUAUGUACUCUUCCACCUUUGAUGCUGGGGCUGGCAUUGCUCUCAAUGACAAUGUUGUAAAGCCAAUUUCAUGAUAUGGCAACAAAUAUAGUUAUAGCAACAGGGGGUUGGACCUCAUGGUCCACACAACUUUCAAAGAG
rnacentral:lncRNA from 1 species